CAAUCCGAGGCCUGGCCCAAAUAGCGCCUCCCCCAAAUCCACCUGCCCUAGCUUCCACCCCGACCACUUCCAUCGCCGGGCACCUUCUGCCGCGCCCAACCACCGUACGCCACCCCCAGCAACCCACCGUACUGCUAGAUCCCUCCCCGACUAUUGUCACCAGUCCAUCAGGCCGGGCACCGCUCGGGGGCCCACAGAUGCGAGAGGAGGCCGUCGUAGCAUCGGGCGGCAUUGACCAGAAGGAGGUGAAGGAAGGAAGAGAAGGAGGACGUCGAAGCAGCCCACACCGCGGAUCCAAUGCGGGGAUUCGGGAAGGAAGGACACAGUUGCGCGGCCCCCGGAUCUGGCGAAGGACAUGCGCGAGAGGCGGCCAACGGGGCAUGGGGAACAACUCCAGAUCCGGACGGCCCGAGCAGAGCAUGAAGCCAGGAAAGAGGGGCGGGUGUUUGGAUUUGUUGAGAUUGACGCACACACAAGCUUUUGCUGGCCGCCGCUGCCCUGCGAGCGGCACUGGGGUGAGCGACCUGGAACUAAAGGAUGCCCACUGUCUUGUACUCACAUCAGCAAACCCGUCUUCGUAUUUCCAUCACUGAAACCAGAUCAUGAUGUAUGAUGAAAUGGUAUCAAGGUUUUCCUUUUGAAAAAACACAUGUCAAAACUUUCCAUCAUGCCAAUCUCCAGUACUUACUUCCCAUGCCAAUCUCAAGUUUUGUGAUUCUAGAAGCCAUAUAGAGCCUUCAUUGCUUGAAUAACAGAAGUGUUUGAUACUCCCCACUAUUCUCAAUGUUUUCAUUGGUAGAAAUGCACAUUGGUGGCUGUACAGGUACUUAUGCAAGUGCAUGUGAACUAACUGAUAGAAAUAAGGUUUCUCCCGGUACCCAACCAAUUAGCCUUCGUACAUUCUCGUCAAAGGGCACAACCCACAUGUUUUCUUCAUCUGAUAGACCAACUAUUAUCUACAGUCGCAAUAAGUUGUUGUACAACAAUGUCAAUCUAAAAGAAGUUAAUCACAUGUGUCCUUUUAAUACAGCUGCUUUUCCUGACAGGUUUCUCUCUCU